rnacentral:rRNA from 1 species
ACCUACGGGGGGCAGCAGUGAGGAAUAUUGGUCAAUGGCCGCAAGGCUGAACCAGCCAAGUCGCGUGAGGGACGACUGCCCUAUGGGUUGUAAACCUCUUUUGUAAGGGAAGAAUAAAUGCUACGUGUAGCAUGAUGCCUGUACCUGAUGAAAAAGCAUCGGCUAACUCCGUGCCAGCAGCCGCGGUAAUACGGAGGAUGCGAGCGUUAUCCGGAUUUAUUGGGUUUAAAGGGUGCGUAGGCGGACGGUUAAGUCAGCGGUAAAA